GGCCCAGUGGCGCAACUGAAUAGCGCAUCAGAUUUCGGCUCUGGCGGUUACAGGUUUGAAUCCUGUCUGGGUCA
rnacentral:tRNA from 1 species